CUAGAUGCCGACAAGAUCCUCCGGUGUGGAGGGUGGCUGGUGUUCGUCGUUCUCAUCAACCUGAAGGAGCAUAAGAAGGUGGAGCUGUCAGCACUCCAGUGCCUGAGCGUUUGCCUUUGUGGAAACCCACAGCCCUAGUCUCUGAUUCCAGAGUUCUUCAGUCCUGGCUCCAAGCUUCAGUCUGGAUCCUGUCUCAGUCAAAGACCACAAGCCUUCAGAGAAAUCGUUUUGGAUCAAGGUCCAGCUGACAGUUCAAGUCCUUUGUUCCCAGGCAAAGCGAACCCUGCUCACCCUCCACCAACUAACUCCACCAACACCACUCCAGAGUGCUCGCCAUUUCCCUGAAAAGCUCCCAGGUUCUGCAGCAGCUUAUACUCGUCUUCCCAGGCUCCACAUCAUUCUCCCUCAUCCAACAAUCACUCUACAACUUGCUGUGCCUCCAGUCCCGGUUCCAGUACCAUAUCACAUUCCUGAACAAUAAUAAACUUGUUUAACUUUU